ensembl:lncRNA
GCUGGAGGAGGGCCUGAUGCUGGGGAGGGCCUGAUGCUGGGGGAGGGUCUGAUGCUGGGGGAGGGUGUGAUGCUGGAGGAGGGCCUGAUGCUGGAGGAGGGCCUGAUGCUGGACUAUGGGCCUGAUGCUGGAGGAGGGCCUGAUGCUGGGGAGGGCCUGAUGCUGGGGGAGGGUCUGAUGCUGGACUAUGGGCCUGAUGCUGGGGGAGGGCCUGAUGCUGGGGAGGGCCUGAUGCUGGGGGAGUUCCUGAUCCUGGAAUAGGGCCUGAUGCUGGGGGAGGUCCUGAUCCUGGACUAGGGCCUGAUGCUGGAGGACGGCCUGAUGCUGGGGAGGGCCUGAUGCUUGGGGAGGGUCUGAUGCCGGACUAUGGCCUGAUGCUGGGGUAAACGUCUGAUGCUGGCGGGAAGGUGUGAUGAUGGUGGGCAGCCUGCUCCUAGAUGUACGAAGAGUUGUGAUUAUAAAUAUGAGAAAUCUUUUAUUCAUACUUUCCUGACCACCUUGCUAUGUUCUUUUUUUCUGAAACAUAAUUCUGUGCAAUAUAGAUUUGAUUUCUGCCAUACAUCAACAUGAAUUAGCCAUAGGUGUGUACAUGUCCCCUCCCUCUUGAAUCUCCCUCCCACCUCCCUUUGCUACAUUCUUAUCUCUAUGCAUAUAUGAAUAAUAAAGACUUGACUAAAAUAACAUCAAAAGCUCCCACACACAAGCAUGCACACGCACACUCCCUAGUGCAUCAUUCGGGUCCGCGUGAGGGUUGCCCUCGGCCACCCCGCCCUGGGAUCCAUGGUGAGCCUUGACACCUGCACUUUGUUCCCACCCUGGGCCCACUCCCACGCCUCAGCAGCAGAGGGGCCUUGUCCCCGCAGAUGCUGAAGUGAUGACUCUGGAGCCAAGGAUACGAACACCUAGUCGGUCGUCCUUUGGGGACACCUAUACUUCCACCUUCUAGCCUUUCCAUUGUAUCCAUCCGUUUCUCUUAACAGAAUGUCCGUGUGAUGACACGGGCUCCCAUUACCAGCUCUGGUCUGUUCUCAUUGAGAGUACAGCUUACCCUCGUCACUCUUUAUUGGCAGCAGGAAAUUUUGCUCCAGUACUUUAUUGAAGCAGUGAGUGCAGUGAAGUCGCUCAGUCGUGUCCGACUCUCUGCGACCCCGUGGACUGUAGCCCGCCAGGCUCCUCUGUCCAUGGGAUUCUCCAGGCAAGAAUGCUGGAGUGGGUUGCCAUUUCCUUCUCCAGGGGAUCUUCCCAACCCAGGGAUCGAACACGGGUCUCCGGCAUUGCAGGCAGACGCUUUAUCCUCUAAGCCACCAGGGAAGCUCUGACUUUAUUGAAAGAAAGCAAUAAAUAAUACUGUGAUAAAAAUAGUUCAAAAGUAGACUGUACAUACUUUGUCACAUAUUCAGGAAGAUCACAAAAGAUUAAUAGAAAAACAGAAUGGUAACAAUGGAUUGUACAAGGAAAUUAAAGGCAAAACCCACAUGUAGAGAGACAUGCUGUCUCUGUCUACCGAGAUAUCAGCUGCAUAAGGCACCAUGAUCUGAACGCAUCUCUUACUAGCUUUUUUAAUGUGCUGCUGAAAAAGUAAAAGUUACAUUUGCUACUUAUACUAUCCAAAAUGGCUAUGUCAUCAAAAUCUAAAAAUGUACGCCUAGGUCCAUUCUUUAAACAUAUUUACAAACAGAUGUAAAAAGAUGAUUUACAUAAGAAAAAUAAGGCCUUUGUCAGAGCUGCACUAUGCUGUCUGUCUGUCCGGGAUGUGGUGCCCUCAGUGUUCAGCUCGAUGGCUCCGCAGCGGGUGCAGGGCACCGCGGUUGGUCCUCGAAGAGUCUCACCGGAGGCGAGGGAUCCAGGGCCACAGAGACUAGGUUACCGGAGAGAUUUUCAUAGUCGUCUUCUAGUCAUCAUUUCAGCCCAAAUUUCAUUAGAAGCUCACAUUUAACACCCAGUACUUUUUUUUUUUUUUCACCCAGUACUUUUAAAUUGCUUCACACUGCAGACAAAAAGCAUUUCUUCCUAGAAAAAAAGUACAAUUUAGGUCAGUCGUUAAAAUACAACAGUUGGUUGAAAUUAAGUCCGCUCAUUUCAG